rnacentral:rRNA from 1 species
AACCAACGCUGGCGGCGUGCCUCAGGCAUGCAAGUCGAACGAUUAAAGCCCUCUUCGGAGGGUGCAUAAAGUGGCGCACGGGUGAGUAACACGUAAGUAAUCUACCUUCGAGUGGGGAAUAACGUUCGGAAACGAACGCUAAUACCGCAUAAUGCAGCGGCAUCUAUGAUGACAGUUGUUAAAGAUUUAUCGCUUGAAGAGGAGCUUGCGGCAGAUUAGCUAGUUGGUAAGGUAACGGCUUACCAAGGCGACGAUCUGUAUCCGGUCUAAGAGGACGGUCGGACACACUGACACUGAAUAACGGGUCAGACUCCUACGGGAGGCAGCAGUCGGGAAUUUUGGGCAAUGGGCGAAAGCCUGACCCAGCAACGCCGCGUGAAGGAUGAAGUUUUUCGGAAUGUAAACUUCGUAAGAAUAGGAAGAAUAAAUGACGGUACUAUUUGUAAGGUCCGGCUAACUACGUGCCAGCAGCCGCCGUAA